AAUACAUAAAAGCAGAGGUAUUCGCUGUCACAAUACAUAAAAGCAGAGGUAUUCGCUGUCACAAUACAUAAAAGCAGAGGUAUUCGCUGUCACAAUACAUAAAAGCAGAGGUAUUCGCUGUCACAAUACAUAAAAGCAGAGGUAUUCGCUGUCACAAUACAUAAAAGCAGAGGGAUUCGCUGUCACAAUACAUAAAAGCAGAGGUAUUCGCUGUCACAAUACAUAAAAGCAGAGGGAUUCGCUGUCACAAUACAUAAAAGCAGAGGUAUUCGCUGUCACAAUACAUAAAAGCAGAGGUAUUCGCUGUCACAAUACAUAAAAGCAGAGGUAUUCGCUGUCACAAUACAUAAAAGCAGAGGUAUUCGCUGUCACAAUACAUAAAAGCAGAGGUAUUCGCUGUCACAAUACAUAAAAGCAGAGGUAUUCGCUGUCACAAUACAUAAAAGCAGAGGGAUUCGCUGUCACAAUACAUAAAAGCAGAGGUAUUCGCUGUCACAAUACAUAAAAGCAGAGGUAUUCGCUGUCACAAUACAUAAAAGCAGAGGUAUUCGCUGUCACAAUACAUAAAAGCAGAGGUAUUCGCUGUCACAAUACAUAAAAGCAGAGGUAUUCGCUGUCACAAUACAUAAAAGCAGAGGGAUUCGCUGUCACAAUACAUAAAAG